rnacentral:rRNA from 1 species
UACGUAGGUGGCAAGCGUUUGUCCGGAUUUAUUGGGUUUAAAGUGUGCGCAGGUGGCCGCGCAAGUUCGAGUGUGAAAUCCCCCGAGCUUAACUUGGGAAUUGCGCUCGAAACUACGUGGCUCGAGUGUGGCAGAGGAAGGUGGAAUUCCACGUGUAGCGGUGAAAUGCGUAGAGAUGUGGAGGAACACCGAUGGCGAAGGCAGCCUUCUGGGCCAACACUGACGCUCAUGCACGAAAGCGUGGGGAGCGAACAGG